CUGAUACAUUGGUUUCAGGACCGGUAACAAGUACAGAUCUGAGAAAAUGUCAAGGUAAAUCACAACACACAAAGAAGUGGCAACUUCCCACAGGGCAACUGAAUGCUAC